ACUCCUACGGGAGGCAGCAGGCACGUAAAUUACCCAAUCCUGACUCAGGGAGGUAGUGACAAGAAAUAACGGACCGAGGCUUUGCUUCGGGAUUGCAAUGAGUAGAAUUUAAACCCCUUUACGAGGAUCAAUUGGAGGGCAAGUCUGGUGCCAGCAGCCGCGGUAAU
rnacentral:rRNA from 1 species